UUCACAAUGGACAAUUACGCGGUUUAAAAUUCCACGUGUUUUCGUUUUGUUUUGUGUUUUUGAUGUAAUGAGAAAAUUAUAACGAGAUGUCAAUGUUAAGGAAAACAAUUAGAAAAACUGUGAAUUUAACACAGGAAUUAAAAACAUUUACCUUAAGUAAUUAUUGUUCGCAAGUAACCCAUCCUAAAUCGGAGCUACCAAAACAGAUAAAACCGUAUUUAAAAAAAAUUAAACAACCUCCUUUUGUUAAAAAUUUAUUUUUAGGAUCAUUUAAUACGGAUGUAUUGAUAUAUCCAGAAGUACUUUCCAGAGAAGAUCUCUCAGAAUUAAAUAAAAUGAAUGACAAAU